GUAAAACUUGAGAAGGAGACAUGCUCUCAACCCAGGAAAAACUUCAAGCUUUACAAGAUGCUGUUUUAAACCAGUUUCCACGGCCAAAGCUGAUGUUAGAAAAUCCAUCAACAGUAGAAUAUGCGAGCUAAGACACCAGGUGAAGUGCAAAAGCAUGGGUAUAUAAGUAAUUUAAACCAGUGAAGAGCCAAGAUGGACUCCUAGCCAGGAUAAAGGCCUGUUCUUUUGGUAAUUUAUUUCUUUGCUUUUUCACAUUGCCAAAGCUCCUUGAAAGUUUGUUUAUUAUUUAUUUAUCUUUUAUUGUCUGUGCAUUUUGUUUAUAUUGUAUUUUUAACUGUAUAACGGCACUGCUGAAAGUUUGAAAUAAAUAGACCUUUGUAAUUUAAAUUGCUUUCAUUUAUAUUUUGUAUAUUUUCUGUUUUAUGUCACUCUUUUAAAAUGUAAUUUAUGUUAAUGUAAUGCAAGACAUUUAUGUAAUGUAAAGCAAACCACAUUGUCUGACCAUGUGCAAAAUCUCUUGUGGUUGUAAUAGGUCUGUUUAGCUCUCUACCUCAAAUUAGUUUUAGUAUGUGUGCCUGAUUAAAAGAAAAUAAAGGUGGCUUUUGAUAGAUUA